GCCGCUCGUGAUGUCAUGAGAAGUCCACUGAACCUUAUCAUUUAGAGGAAGGAGAAGUCGUAACAAGGUUUCUGUAGGUGAACCUGCGGAAGGAUCAUUGUUGAAACCCUCAACGAGGAGGACCACGAAUGCAUCAAUGAAUGUCAUCGGGCUGGGGCCUGCCUCGGUGCGACGCAGUCCCUGCCCUGGCGGUGCAAAUGAUGGACCAAAAAUCCCCCGGCGGGAUGGGGCGCCAAGGAACACGAAAGUCUGGGGCGGGCGGGACUUCGUCCUGGCCGUGCCGUAUUUUUGUUCACGGAAUUGAAUGGCUCUCGGCAAUGGAUAUCUCGGCCCUCAUAUCGAUGAAGAACGUAGCAAAAUGUGAUACGUGGUGUGAAUUGCAGAAUCCCACGAACCAUUGAGUCUUUGAACACAAGUUGCGCCCGAGGCCUUCCGGCCGAGGGCACACCUGCCUGGGCGUCACACACCAUCAUGGCUCUGCGUGGCCUCGCCCCCACGCACGACUGGCGGAGUUGGACGCAGACAUUGGCCCCCCGUGCCCCCUGGGCGCGGUCAGCCAAAGAGCGGGCCGUCGCUGGUGGUCGGGCAUGAUGGGUGGUGGCGCCACGAGCGAGCCGAACGUUGUAACCCUGCCGUAGAGAUGAUGAGCUUUGGAGGCCCCCCCACCUCCCCCACCAUAAUUUGCUUUGGUUCGGAUUUCGACCUCAAGUCAGGUGGGGCCACCCGCUGAGUUUAAGCAUAUAAAUAAGCGGAGGAGAAGAAACUUUAUGAGGAUUCCUAUAGUAACGGCGAAGUGAACCGAGAUCAGCCCAGCAUGAGAAU
rnacentral:rRNA from 1 species